rnacentral:rRNA from 1 species
ACUCCUACGGGAGGCAGCAGUGGGGAAUUUUGGACAAUGGGCGAAAGCCUGAUCCAGCCAUGCCGCGUGCAGGAUGAAGGCCUUCGGGUUGUAAACUGCUUUUGUACGGAACGAAACGGCCUUUUCUAAUAAAGAGGGCUAAUGACGGUACCGUAAGAAUAAGCACCGGCUAACUACGUGCCAGCAGCCGCGGUAAUACGUAGGGUGCAAGCGUUAAUCGGAAUUACUGGGCGUAAAGCGUGCGCAGGCGGUUAUGUAAGACAGUUGUGAAAUCCCCGGGCUCAACCUGGGAACUGCAUCUGUGACUGCAUAGCUAGAGUACGGUAGAGGGGGAUGGAAUUCCGCGUGUAGCAGUGAAAUGCGUAGAUAUGCGGAGGAACACCGAUGGCGAAGGCAAUCCCCUGGACCUGUACUGACGCUCAUGCACGAAAGCGUGGGGAGCAAACAGGAUUAGAAACCCGAGUAGUCCCA